rnacentral:lncRNA from 1 species
AUACAAAAUUAGCCGGGUGUGGUGGUGCAUGCCUGUAAUCCCAGCUACUCGGGAGACUGAGGCAGAAGAACCGCUUGAACCCAGGAGAUGGAGGUUUGCAGUGAGCAGAGAACACGCCAUUGCACUCCAACCUGGGCAACAAGAGCAAAACUACGUCUCAAAAAAAAAAAAAAUACAAACAAUUAGCCAGGCAUGGUGGUGCACGCCUAUAAUCCCAGCUACUCAGGAAGAUGAAGCAGCAGAAUCGCUUGAACCCGGGAGGCAGAGGUUGCGGUGAGC